CCCGCUGUCCAAAACGCGAGCCAGUGUUGGAAGCAUCACGAGUCGUGUGGGUGUCUUGCUCCUCCCAUGCAAUCGGCUGCCACGUGGUGGAUGUGAUUGAACCAUGUGCCGCAUGAGCUGUUGUAACGUCAGUGCUGGAGUACCUCACAAGAAUCGGUCGUGGACCGAAAUUGGUAAAGGGCUGAGAAAGAUGGCCGACCUGUUUGAAGUGUCCCACAGUCCAACAAAGACAAUGCAAGCGACCUGUAAUUCCACGAGAAGUCUGUGCACAUGGGUUGUAUCCUGUCUCUUAUGGACAUCUCUUCCGUUGGAGAGGGCCGAUACGGAAACCGCCUUGUUUGAACAUGCGCUCACCGUGGUGAAACGUUCUCGAGGGAGAUGAGCACCAACAAAAACUGAUUGUUGGAGAUCAAGGACAGUGAUGCACAGGAGAGGAACUGAACAAGUGAACUGCCAGCAUCUACGUGCUGAACGUCUGCCGAAGCGUUCCCCAUUUGCGAUCGUCAUUUUAGAUGGGUUCCUGGACAAAGAGUGCAUUCUACAUCUUUCGUUACACGCUGAAUCCACCGAAUAGUGUAAUUACAUGUGCUGUUCAUGACGUCUAAGACUCGUGUGAAUACACGCACUCCUGAUGCCAUUGGUUUGCCGGUGACAUGCUCAGCUGCGAAGAGAUUUUGUAACGUCUAUUGUACAGUGUAAUAUUGCAUACCGCGUGCUACCAAAAUAAAGCCUACAAAACG